GGUUGGGUGGCCGAGUGGCUAGGCAAAGGUCUGCAAAACCUUGUACGGCGGUUCGAAUCCGCUCCCAACCUCCC
rnacentral:tRNA from 1 species